UACGGGGGGGGCAAGCGUUGUUCGGAAUUACUGGGCGUAAAGGGCUCGUAGGUGGCCAACUAAGUCAGACGUGAAAUCCCCAGGCUUAACCUGGGAACUGCGUCUGAUACUGGAUGGCUUGAAUUCGGGAGAGGGAUGCAGAAUUCCAGGUGUAGCGGUGAAAUGCGUAGAUAUUCGCAAGAACACCAGUGGCGAAGGCGGCUCACUGGCCCGAUACUGACGCUGAGGCACGAAAGCGUGGGGAGCAAACAGG
rnacentral:rRNA from 1 species